rnacentral:rRNA from 1 species
UACGUAGGGUGCGAGCGUUGUCCGGAAUUAUUGGGCGUAAAGAGCUCGUAGGCGGUGUGUCACGUUGGCCGUGAAAACCUGCAGCUUAACUGUGGGCGUGCGGUCGAUACGGGCAUCACUGGAGUUCGGCAGGGGAGACUGGAAUUCCUGGUGUAGCGGUGAAAUGCGCAGAUAUCAGGAGGAACACCGGUGGCGAAGGCGGGUCUCUGGGCCGAUACUGACGCUGAGGAGCGAAAGCGUGGGGAGCAAACAGG